rnacentral:rRNA from 1 species
AGAGUUUGAUCCUGGCUCAGAACGAACGCUGGCGGCAUGCUUAACACAUGCAAGUUGAACGCAGAAUAAGCCUUCGGGUUUAUUGCUGAGUAGCAAACGGGUGAGUAACGCGUGGGAAUCUGCCUUUAUGUGGGGGAUAACUAAGGGAAACUUUAGCUAAUACCGCAUACGCUCUACGGAGGAAAGACUUCGGUCGCAUAAAGAGGAGCCCGCGUCAGAUUAGGUAGUUGGUGGGGUAAAGGCCUACCAAGCCAAUGAUCUGUAGCUGGUCUGAGAGGAUGAUCAGCCACACUGGGACUGAGACACGGCCCAGACUCCUACGGGAGGCAGCAGUGGGGAAUAUUGGACAAUGGGGGAAACCCUGAUCCAGCAAUGCCGCGUGAAUGAAGAAGGCCUUAGGGUUGUAAAGUUCUUUCACCU